GAUGAACGCUGGCGGCGUGCCUAAUACAUGCAAGUCGAGCGAACGGACGAGAAGCUUGCUUUUCUGACGUUAGCGGCGCACGGGUGGGUAACACGUGGAUAACCUACCUAUAAGACUGGGAUAACUUCGGGAAACCGGAGCUAAUACCGGAUAAUAUUUUGAACCGCAUGGUUCAAUAGUGAAAGACGGUCUUGCUGUCACUUAUAGAUGGAUCCGCGCUGCAUUAGCUAGUUGGUAAGGUAACGGCUUACCAAGGCAACGAUGCGUAGCCGACCUGAGAGGGGGAUCGGCCACACUGGAACUGAGACACGGUCCAGACUCCUACGGGAGGCAGCAGUAGGGAAUCUUCCGCAAUGGGCGAAAGCCUGACGGAGCAACGCCGCGUGAGUGAUGAAGGUCUUCGGAUCGUAAAACUCUGUUAUUAGGGAAGAACAUAUGUGUAAGUAACUGUGCACAUCUUGACGGUACCUAAUCAGAAAGCCACGGCUAACUACGUG
rnacentral:rRNA from 1 species